GGUUAAGCGACUAAGCGUACACGGUGGAUGCCCUGGCAGUCAGAGGCGAUGAAGGACGUGCUAAUCUGCGAUAAGCGUCGGUAAGGUGAUAUGAACCGUUAUAACCGGCGAUUUCCGAAUGGGGAAACCCAGUGUGUUUCGACACACUAUCAUUAACUGAAUCCAUAGGUUAAUGAGGCGAACCGGGGGAACUGAAACAUCUAAGUACCCCGAGGAAAAGAAAUCAACCGAGAUUCCCCCAGUAGCGGCGAGCGAACGGGGAGCAGCCCAGAGCCUGAAUCAGUGUGUGUGUUAGUGGAAGCGUCUGGAAAGGCGCGCGAUACAGGGUGACAGCCCCGUACACAAAAAUGCACAUGCUGUGAGCUCGAUGAGUAGGGCGGGACACGUGGUAUCCUGUCUGAAUAUGGGGGGACCAUCCUCCAAGGCUAAAUACUCCUGACUGACCGAUAGUGAACCAGUACCGUGAGGGAAAGGCGAAAAGAACCCCGGCGAGGGGAGUGAAAAAGAACCUGAAACCGUGUACGUACAAGCAGUGGGAGCACGCUUAGGCGUGUGACUGCGUACCUUUUGUAUAAUGGGUCAGCGACUUAUAUUCUGUAGCAAGGUUAACCGAAUAGGGGAGCCGAAGGGAAACCGAGUCUUAACUGGGCGUUAAGUUGCAGGGUAUAGACCCGAAACCCGGUGAUCUAGCCAUGGGCAGGUUGAAGGUUGGGUAACACUAACUGGAGGACCGAACCGACUAAUGUUGAAAAAUUAGCGGAUGACUUGUGGCUGGGGGUGAAAGGCCAAUCAAACCGGGAGAUAGCUGGUUCUCCCCGAAAGCUAUUUAGGUAGCGCCUCGUGAAUUCAUCUCCGGGGGUAGAGCACUGUUUCGGCAAGGGGGUCAUCCCGACUUACCAACCCGAUGCAAACUGCGAAUACCGGAGAAUGUUAUCACGGGAGACACACGGCGGGUGCUAACGUCCGUCGUGAAGAGGGAAACAACCCAGACCGCCAGCUAAGGUCCCAAAGUCAUGGUUAAGUGGGAAACGAUGUGGGAAGGCCCAGACAGCCAGGAUGUUGGCUUAGAAGCAGCCAUCAUUUAAAGAAAGCGUAAUAGCUCACUGGUCGAGUCGGCCUGCGCGGAAGAUGUAACGGGGCUAAACCAUGCACCGAAGCUGCGGCAGCGACGCUGAUGCGUUGUUGGGUAGGGGAGCGUUCUGUAAGCCUGCGAAGGUGUGCUGUGAGGCAUGCUGGAGGUAUCAGAAGUGCGAAUGCUGACAUAAGUAACGAUAAAGCGGGUGAAAAGCCCGCUCGCCGGAAGACCAAGGGUUCCUGUCCAACGUUAAUCGGGGCAGGGUGAGUCGACCCCUAAGGCGAGGCCGAAAGGCGUAGUCGAUGGGAAACAGGUUAAUAUUCCUGUACUUGGUGUUACUGCGAAGGGGGGACGGAGAAGGCUAUGUUGGCCGGGCGACGGUUGUCCCGGUUUAAGCGUGUAGGCUGGUUUUCCAGGCAAAUCCGGAAAAUCAAGGCUGAGGCGUGAUGACGAGGCACUACGGUGCUGAAGCAACAAAUGCCCUGCUUCCAGGAAAAGCCUCUAAGCAUCAGGUAACAUCAAAUCGUACCCCAAACCGACACAGGUGGUCAGGUAGAGAAUACCAAGGCGCUUGAGAGAACUCGGGUGAAGGAACUAGGCAAAAUGGUGCCGUAACUUCGGGAGAAGGCACGCUGAUAUGUAGGUGAAGUCCCUCGCGGAUGGAGCUGAAAUCAGUCGAAGAUACCAGCUGGCUGCAACUGUUUAUUAAAAACACAGCACUGUGCAAACACGAAAGUGGACGUAUACGGUGUGACGCCUGCCCGGUGCCGGAAGGUUAAUUGAUGGGGUCAGCGCAAGCGAAGCUCUUGAUCGAAGCCCCGGUAAACGGCGGCCGUAACUAUAACGGUCCUAAGGUAGCGAAAUUCCUUGUCGGGUAAGUUCCGACCUGCACGAAUGGCGUAAUGAUGGCCAGGCUGUCUCCACCCGAGACUCAGUGAAAUUGAACUCGCUGUGAAGAUGCAGUGUACCCGCGGCAAGACGGAAAGACCCCGUGAACCUUUACUAUAGCUUGACACUGAACAUUGAGCCUUGAUGUGUAGGAUAGGUGGGAGGCUUUGAAGUGUGGACGCCAGUCUGCAUGGAGCCGACCUUGAAAUACCACCCUUUAAUGUUUGAUGUUCUAACGUUGACCCGUAAUCCGGGUUGCGGACAGUGUCUGGUGGGUAGUUUGACUGGGGCGGUCUCCUCCUAAAGAGUAACGGAGGAGCACGAAGGUUGGCUAAUCCUGGUCGGACAUCAGGAGGUUAGUGCAAUGGCAUAAGCCAGCUUGACUGCGAGCGUGACGGCGCGAGCAGGUGCGAAAGCAGGUCAUAGUGAUCCGGUGGUUCUGAAUGGAAGGGCCAUCGCUCAACGGAUAAAAGGUACUCCGGGGAUAACAGGCUGAUACCGCCCAAGAGUUCAUAUCGACGGCGGUGUUUGGCACCUCGAUGUCGGCUCAUCACAUCCUGGGGCUGAAGUAGGUCCCAAGGGUAUGGCUGUUCGCCAUUUAAAGUGGUACGCGAGCUGGGUUUAGAACGUCGUGAGACAGUUCGGUCCCUAUCUGCCGUGGGCGCUGGAGAACUGAGGGGGGCUGCUCCUAGUACGAGAGGACCGGAGUGGACGCAUCACUGGUGUUCGGGUUGUCAUGCCAAUGGCACUGCCCGGUAGCUAAAUGCGGAAGAGAUAAGUGCUGAAAGCAUCUAAGCACGAAACUUGCCCCGAGAUGAGUUCUCCCUGACUCCUUGAGAGUCCUGAAGGAACGUUGAAGACGACGACGUUGAUAGGCCGGGUGUGUAAGCGCAGCGAUGCGUUGAGCUAACCGGUACUAAUGAACCGUGAGG
rnacentral:rRNA from 1 species